AUUAGGUGAGAAAUCACUGCAGCUUUGAGGCAUCAUUCUCUAGAAGGCUAUAUAUGCUUCAAAUCAGCAUCCAAUAUGUAAUGCGAUUUCUCUGAUAGUCGGGCCUAAGAAGCAAGAAGUUGAAAUGGAAGCAUUACCACUCAAUUUAAUCACUAGCAAAAUUUUUAUUCCCAUAACUUACUGCUCUGCUUGCCAAGAUGUUUUUGUUCCAGAGGGAAUACUUUUUCUAUCAGGAGGCACAACAAUGAUACCAUUGAACUAAAAUGUAAGAUUGCCACCUACCCACUUUGAUUCCUUAUGCCUCUGGAUCAACAGUGAUUCUGACAACCAAGGAGCAACUAGACUAUUAAUCCACAAUGGAGAUGAGAUAUGGCGUGUGCAGGGUGGUAUCGUGGUAGCCUGGCUCUCUUCAGAUGACAGUGCUCUCCCGUGUGUACCCCUCAAUGACAAAUUGAAAUCGCAGCUUUCCACCCCUUACAGAUGAGGAGAGUGAGAAGCAAAAUGCCUUGACUGCAGUAACUUGUAAGAAAAUACAAGUGAAUUUUCAUCACAAGUGGAUGAACAUCAGUCAUCAUCAUACAUCCUUUAGACUCAUGGGUGACUAUAGCGGGUAAAGAAUCAUUGUUCUUCGAAAUUAUGGAUGAAAAUAAUGAGACAACCGUGACAUAUAGAGUGUUCUCUGUGACUUUCUCAAUUCAUCCAAAUAAAAGCAGUGCUCAACCAGAA